GUGAAUCAUCAAAUUUUUGAACGCAAAUUGCACUCUCUUCGGAUAGUAUGCCUGUUUGAGGGUCAGCCUAAAAAAAACCGACAAGGUUUCUUUUUCGCGGUGCCUUUUGUCGGAAGUUGUGCUGUCUUAACCCUUUGGGUUUAAUGGGCGUUAAAAUUUUCUUUUCGAUUCCACGAACGUUUCUAAGUUUUUAUUUCUUACACUUUAAAGUUAUCG
rnacentral:misc_RNA from 1 species